CACAUAUCUUACACAGUUUUCACAAUUAUUUUUGAAAUAAUAUAUACACAAUCAUAGUUUCAGAAAUGGUUUUAACUAAAGGUAUUGUUUCUAACAGAUACAUACAUUUUCCAGCAUUUUUUUAUUAUGCAUUGUAUUUAUAUUUUUAAGACAUCAGUCCUCUGAGUAGCACCAUAGCUUCUUCUACAGGUAGCACCAUAGCAGGUGAGUUUUGGGUUUUUAAUGUGAAAUUACAGCAGUAUUUAGUAAUGUUGUUGUUGUGGUUAUAAAUGCUCAUGAUUGUUGACCGAAAAAUAGGAGUUUUGUGGAUGGUGAACAUUCUCAAGACCAGAUGAGCUUGAAAAAACAAACAUGCAAAAGAUUAUCAUCCAUUUUAUUCAAGAAUUGUGACUGAUGAACAAGUCAGUCUGUACCUUUUGACCACAUACAAUGUUCUAUGGCCUAAUGUCUUAUAAUUAUGCCUCUCAAAGUUGAAGCCAGGCUUUUGCACCAUGACAACUUGUCCUGUAGUUCACAAUUCUGAAAAUCUUAAUGCUGGUUCUGACAGAAUAGUGUCAGAACACACAUCUUACGCAGUGUCACCACUAUUUUUGAAUUAAUAUAUACAUGCAAUCCUAAUUUCAGUUAUGAACAUAUACAUUUCAACCAUAAUUCCUCAACUUUCCAGCACUAUUAAUGAAACUAUUUGUAUUAAUAUUUUUCAGUCACUACUUCCUUGAGUAGCACAACAGAUUCCUCUACUGCUAGCACCCAAGCAGUCACCACGUCCUUGAGUAGCACAACGGCUUCCUCUACUUCUAGCAGCAAAGCAGACACCACUUCCCUGAGUAGCACAAGUGCUUCCUCUACUGCUAGCACCAAAGCAGACACCAGUCCCCUGAGUAGCACCAUAGCUUCCUCUACAGGUAGCACCAUAGCAGGUGAGUUUUGAGUUUUUAAUUGUGAAAUUACAGCAGUAUUUAGUAAUGUUGUUGUGGUUAUAAAUGCUCAUGAUUAUUGACCAAAAAAUAGGAGUUUGUGGAUG
rnacentral:lncRNA from 1 species